rnacentral:rRNA from 1 species
GACGAACGCUGGCGGCGUGCUUAACACAUGCAAGUCGAACGGAAAGGCCCUGCUUUUGUGGGGUGCUCGAGUGGCGAACGGGUGAGUAACACGUGAGUAACCUGCCCUUGACUUUGGGAUAACUUCAGGAAACUGGGGCUAAUACCGGAUAGGAGCUCCUGCUGCAUGGUGGGGGUUGGAAAGUUUCGGCGGUUGGGGAUGGACUCGCGGCUUAUCAGCUUGUUGGUGGGGUAGUGGCUUACCAAGGCUUUGACGGGUAGCCGGCCUGAGAGGGUGACCGGCCACAAUGGGACUGAGAUACGGACCAGACUCCUACCGGGGGCAGCAGGGGGGAAUAUUGCACAAUGGGCGGAAGCCUGAUGCAGCAACGCAGCGGGCGGGAUGACGGCCUUGGGGGGGGAAACCGCUUGCGGCUAUGACGAAGCGUGAGUGACGGUAAUGGGAAAAGAAGCACCGGCUAACUACGUG